GCCAAUAAUAAAUCAUUUCAUUGGUCUAGAGAGUGGUGACAAAAAUUAUCAUGAAAACAACAAUAUUCUCAUGCAAAAUAACACUCAAAAAGUUUCAAAGCAAAAGCAAUUCUUCCGCACAAGAUUCAUCUGAUAUACUUUUUCAAAAACAAGUAUAAAUUCAGUGUCCAUGCAUUUUGAAUCAGAAGUCUCAAAGAAAAAGUGAAUCUUCUUGCCCAAGUGGAUCAUCAGAGGACUCUGGAUUUCGUAAAAUGGGAUCAAACAUUGGUCUUGCAGGUUGAUCUCUCCUAAGAGGGAAGUUCCAAAAUGAAUCAGAAUUCUCAAAGAAAAUGUAAAAUGCUAAGGCAGAUGCCAAAAAUAGCCCGACCAGUAACAAAUAAAUCUGCCACUCUUUCCAAUCUGCGGGAACAUUUAGCUUAGUCACCACGGCCCUCCACUUAUUGGAAGUACUUAGUACAACCCUGUAUAAGACACCACAUAGGAGGGAAAAAAAUUUGUCAAGCACCAAAAGAAGGAAAUGAUAAGGACUGAAAUUGAUUAAAAAACCGUCUGAUUACUGGAGUGUGUCAUACAGGGAAAAUUGCAUCACAUGAUACAAUUUAGACUUAGAAAUUGAAAUAUGAAAGAUGACCUUAGAAACAUACGGCAAAAAAGAUGUUAUGGUGUAAGAAGAUUGUAUUUGCAGAACUUAAAGAUAAAAAGAAAGUACUGAGGGAUGCAAGACAAAACAUUAAAAGGCCCUUGUUAAACCUACUGUCACUCAUGCACAAUGCAGAGGUGACAAAGAGGAUCCAAUGAGACCAGAGCCAGAAGAGAUCAGCUGCUCCGGUUAUAUAUAUAUGCAACAAUCAAAUGGAAAGGGAUACACUGGGUGUCGGGUGAAGGAUAUGGAUACAAAUAAUAUUAUUACAUGCAAAUGCAACUACGAGUAAUUCAAUUGUGAGCCAUUUUUCUUUUUUGGAGGAGUGUAGUGGAAGGGAAAAGAGAAUGACAAAGUUCAAACAGGUUUAAAGAGUGAAAGAACGUAACUCUUGAUGCUGGUCCAACUAAUAGCGAGAAUAUCCCCAUACAGGUAAUGUGUUUAUAGUAGCAUCUAUAUUUAUUCUUCUGGAAACUGUCAAUGUCGAAACAGAAGCAAUUGAAACUUUGAUUGGGACAGAACUCUAGGGAUGUAAUGUAUGAACCCAGGUGCAACCUCUUGCUAUAGUGGCUAACCUCCAUUUUCUUUACUUCAGCUACACAAAUGUCCCCAUCCUCGCUUCCUAAAGCAAGAUAUUUCCCAUCCAGGCUGACAGACAUUACACAAGCAGGUUUCUUAAGCAGCCUCUUAUAUCCUAUUUUCUUCCAUGUACUUAUGUCAUAAACAGCAGUAAUUGCUUUGUCACCUGAUUUAAUGAUAUUACAUGCAUUUAGAAUGAUUUAUAUAAUGUGAUGAUAAAAGAUAAGACAGUGUACAUCAUUUCACCAAAGAACAAAUUAAUAUGCCUCUCUGAACAGCACAAAAUAAAAAUGGUUUAGUCCCAUCCUUAGAGAAACGACAUAAUUCAAUCUUCUCAUCCUGUAAAAGAACACCAUAUAAGCAUCAAUGCAGGACAAAAAUCUGCAGUGCAUGUCAGAAAUUGCAAUGAAAUAAAACAUACCGAGUUGCGAGAUAAAGUAGUUAGAGGCACACCAUUUUCCAUAUUCCAUAUUCUCGCUGAACCAUCAGAAGAUGUUGAAGCCAAAAAUGCUGAAUCUAGGCUAAUAUCCAUAUCCCUGAAGGACUUGUGUGCUUUUGGUUCAUCUAAAACUAUGCGCUGGCUGGGCCACUCCAAAAUUCUGAGAUGCCCAUCCACCCCACCAGUAACAAAUCUAGAUCCAUCAACACUAAAGGCUAGGCAUUUUUGUGGACUAACAUCUUGUAGAGCAGGUAAUCGUUUGGCCGACACCUUUAAAUUUGUUUCCUCACCAUGCAACUCAAAUAACUUGCAGCCACCUUUGGUUGUAGAACAAACAAAAUCAUCUCCACUGGGAUGCACCCCAAUUGCUACAGGAUCACCUUCAGUUUCUUCUAGCACAAGCCUAACCAAGGGAGAAGGAGAGAGAGACGUAGUCUUGGGGUCGAAGGAGAAGAACUCAAGCACCGAAGAAGAAGAAGAAGAA
rnacentral:misc_RNA from 1 species